rnacentral:rRNA from 1 species
GUACACGCUGUGACUAGCAUAUCAAUAAGCGGAGGAAAAGAAACUAACAAGGAUUCCCUUAGUAACGGCGAGUGAAGCGGGAAGAGCUCAAAUUUGAAAUCUUCAAGGUUUACCUUGACGAAUUGUAGUUUAAAGAAGUGUUUUCUGCUGGAGUUUUGGUAAAAGUUCUUUGGAAUAGGACAUCAUAGAGGGUGAGAAUCCCGUAUUUGACCAUUAUUUCAGCUUUGUGAUACACUUUCAAAGAGUCGGAUUGUUUGGGAAUGCAGUCCAAAAUGGGUGGUAAAUUUCAUCUAAAGCUAAAUAUUGGCGAGAGACCGAUAGCGAACAAGUACCGUGAGGGAAAGAUGAAAAGAACUUUGAAAAGAGAGUUAAACAGUACGUGAAAUUGUCAGAAGGGAAGCGUUUGACACCAGUGUUGUUUUCUCGAAAAUCAAUUAAAAAUGGCUCGAUUUGUAUUGCUGAGACCUUAAAAGCUCACUGUACAUUUUUCGUGUCUUUUUUAAUGCACUUUUCGUUUAACAAGUCAACAUCAGUUUCUUUUGUUGUAAAAGGGUCAUUGGAAGGUGGCUUUCUUUUCGGAGAAAGUGUUUAUAGCCUUUGGCCUCUGCAAUCGGAGAGACUGAGGUCUGCAGCGUAGACUCUUCGGGGUUAGAUACAUUUGUGCUAAGUUAUAGCUUUUUAUAGACAACUUGUUGACUAUAAUUAGUCUUGUAGCUUACUCGCUUAUGCUAUUUUACCUACGCUUAGGAUGUUGAUCUACAGAGCGAGAGU